rfam:Trichobilharzia regenti genome assembly, scaffold: TRE_scaffold0091297
UGAGACCAAUUCAAGUAUUAUAACUAUGAGUUAUGUCUGAGGACCAAGGAGUUUAACAUGAGCGUGAGUCAUUUGGCUUUACUAAACCCAAAGGCGCAGUUAAGGUAAAGGUUCGGUUUGUCCAGGCUGAGGUGAGAUCCUGUUGUUUUGCUCACUAAUUCCAAGCUGCGAGCAGCAGGCGCAUCACCGCCCCGUCCCAUGGCGUAGACAUGUGGCCUUGUGCUAUGUGCACCGUCAUGGCGGAGCAAGAGCGUACAUGUNNNNNNNNNNGGUCUCCCUCAGGAUAGCUGGCGCUCUGAGAUAUAAACAGUUUUAUCGGGUAAAGCGAAUGAAUAGAGGCAUUGGGGAGAAAACAUCCUCAACCUAUUGUCAAACUUUAAAUGAGUGAGAAGCUUAACUCGCU